rnacentral:rRNA from 1 species
UGCCAGCCGCCGCGGUAAUACGAAGGGGGCUAGCGUUGUUCGGAAUUACUGGGCGUAAAGAGUACGUAGGCGGUCUAUUAAGCCAGAUGUGAAAUCCCGGGGCUCGACCCCGGAACUGCAUUUGGAACUGGUAGACUAGAGAAUAUUAGAGGUUGGUAGAAUUCCUAGUGUAGGGGUGAAAUCCGUAGAUAUUAGGAGGAAUACCGAUGGCGAAGGCAGCCAACUGGGAUACUUCUGACGCUGAGGUACGAAAGCGUGGGUAGCAAACAGGAUUAGAUA